UACAGAGGUCCCAAGCGUUGUUCGGAUUCAUUGGGCGUAAAGGGUGCGUAGGCGGCGCGGUAAGUCGGGUGUGAAAUCUCGGAGCUUAACUCCGAAACUGCAUUCGAUACUGCCGUGCUUGAGGACUGGAGAGGAGACUGGAAUUUACGGUGUAGCGGUGAAAUGCGUAGAUAUCGUAAGGAAGACCAGUGGCGAAGGCGGGUCUCUGGACAGUUCCUGACGCUGAGGCACGAAGGCCGGGGGAGCAAACGGG
rnacentral:rRNA from 1 species